rnacentral:rRNA from 1 species
UACAGAGGGGGCAAGCGUUGUUCGGAAUUACUGGGCGUAAAGGGCGCGUAGGCGGCCUGCUAAGUCGAACGUGAAAUCCCCGAGCUCAACUCGGGAACUGCGUCCGAUACUGGCAGGCUUGAAUCCGGGAGAGGGAUGCGGAAUUCCAGGUGUAGCGGUGAAAUGCGCAGAUAUCAGGAGGAACACCGGUGGCGAAGGCGGGUCUCUGGGCAGUAACUGACGCUGAGGAACGAAAGCGUGGGUAGCAAACAGG